UUCUCUUUGGAAACAUUUCGUUGGUGUUUACUUGAAUGAUUUCUGCCAAUCUGUGUAUCAGGGACGUCACCACAGUGUUCCCAAGUUUUGUUUUCAAUACCGCGGUUGAAGACUAAAUAUGACAAUACUUGUACUUGAUGGUGACAAGUUGGCUGCUGAUUGUGUCAGCCGUUGAAAAUUGGGAUGCUGAGAAACAGGGCAACCAUGUUAAGGUACUGAAGCAUUGCCAUCGAUGGCUGUUGCUUCAGGAUGGCCAUCUGAUAAUCAACUCGGCAACUGAAGAGUCCCAUUCAUGAUGACAAAUUGGCAGCUAACGGCGUCCUGGUAUGCCUGUGACUUCCCCGCAUUGUGUUGUAACUGUAUAUACACCAUUCCUUAAGCUCUCAGAAGCACAGGACAGCGCUAGGUACAUACUGUAGUAGAUAUGAGGAAUCUAAGUUCCUGAAAUGCCAGCCAGUUUCGCGACCAGUCCCGUGCAAUUUUGUGAAUGCUAACUUGUGAUGUUGUAGAGUCCAUUGUCUAGGCUAUCUUAGUGCCAAACAUGACAUGGCCUAGCCAUGAUUGCUGUAUAUAUAAUCGAAAACCUUUCCGAGACGCAUGCUUUUGCUUGUUGAUUGCUACAACGUAAUGCCGAGCCUAUCUGUCAAGUGUUUGUUCCUGAACCAAUCAUCUCAUCUGUGAUGGCGACAGUGGAUUUUUUUUUGUCCCUUGGGUGAUGUAAGGGACAGUUCUGUAUGUGCCAUCAUGAAUGUUGUUUGAUUUUAGAAUGAUUUUCCUAUUGUUUCGCACUACAUCUCAGAAAAAAAAAAUCUACUCAAAUCUUUUGGAAAGAUUCAUGGCAUCAAAACAAAUAUUUUAGAAUCCUACGAAUGCACGGAACAUGAACUAUAGGAGGCCAUAUGCGGCGAAAACAAUACAAAACUACCUACCACGCAAUGCUGCUUGUGUCAAUAUGCAUGGAAAAACCUUUCCGUUGAUAAGAACAAAACAGGGCGGGCCUAGGUGAGGUAGCAUCUAUCGUCCUUUUUUUUGUUCCUUUUUGCGGGGAAGGUAGUAUCCGCCAUAUCAUACACGGUCCCUUUCUUGAUGGAACAUCAAGGUUUAGAAAGAUAUGGUUAGUUAGAUGGAUUGUGUAAGUGGAUAACGUGAGAAUGGAUGCCCAGCAAUCAUGUGUUCUCGGACCUUUGGAGUUUGUGACCAAUGGACGCCACCGGUGGUUGCACGCAUACAUCACCGUGAGUCGAAAAGGACAAAGAAAAAAGGGAGAGGAAAAAGAAUACCUAACACCUCAAAGCCUAUUCCAAGCCUCAAGCGCCGGUUAUAGUGGAAUUCACUAACCGGCGCACACAACUUACUGCACUAUAUAUAAAAAUGGGCCGGCCAAUGCACGUUUUGUUUUCACCGGUUUUAUCUGGGACCGUUUUGAAUAAUUUUACUGACGGUGUUUAUGAUUCACGAAUUCAUGAACAUUCUCAAAUUUCUGAACACCAUUCAGUUUGCGAUCAUUUUUUUAAUACACAUUCAUUUUUAGCUAGAUGGAUAUUUUUAAAUCCGCAAAAAAUUUCUCACAUUGUAAUUUUUUUUCCUAAUUCAUAAAUGUUUUGAAAUUUCAAUAGCAUCUUAAAAAUAAAAAAUGUCCAAUUAAUGCGCAAUAUUUAAUAUUCUUUAUCAUUUUUUUUAAUUUGCUCGUAACUUUUCAAUAUGCACUCGUUGUUAAAAUUCGUCAGCCUUCUUAUAUCAACAAACACUUCUCCAAUUUGUGAACAUUUUUCUGAAUUUACGGAUGCUUGUAAAAUUAACAAACAUCUUUCACUGAAAAUAUGGAAUUUGUGAGCAAAUUGUAAAAUUCAUGAACAUUUUUUAAACUUCAUGAACAGUUUUAUAAAGUUAAGAAAACAAUUCAAAAUCAUGAAUAGUUUUGAAUUCAUGACAUUUUCAAAGUUCAGAAUAUGUUCAAAAUUCAUGUACAUUUUUUAGAUAUCUUAUUUUUCUCAAAAUUGUCAAAUUAUUUUUAAGUUUGUUAAAACUGAGAGGGCUGGUAUUGUUUUAAGCUGGUAGCUGAUAGUUUUUUAGCCUGUAACUAGCAUUUAGUUGAAGCUAGCGCCAUGAAAAAGCUAUUGUAGGUUUUUGUAGUCUUUUUCUUAUGGAAUUUUAUUUUCCAUUUUCUUCUUUUAUUUUUGGUUUCUUUUUUGACUUCUAGAAAUUCUUGAACGUCUUUUUGGAUUUCAUGAACAUUAUUGAAUUUUUUAAUCAAAUUUUACAUUUGAUAAUAUUGCUUCUUUUUUAGAUAUUUUGGAACUUCAAGAACAUUUCCAAAAAUAAUUUUUGUACUGGUUCUAAAAGAGAGAACAAAAGAUGACAACAACGUCGCUGGUCGGUGCCGACGCCGUUUUUUAGGAUUCCAACCCACCCGCAACCGCCUACACCUCUGCUAUUAAAUCUUGCACCUCCUCGUCAACGAUGUUGUCCUGCAUGUCAUCCCACAACUCGUGGUGAGCACUUUACACCGCCUUGUGGUAGGUCUAGACGAAGUUGAAGAGGAAGAUAUUGUGGUCCAUGAGCUCCUCCUGCUCCUCCUCCUUGAGAUCAGGCUUGUCUACUGCAUGAGGCUCAAGCUUUGGGUUGGAGAUCGAGGUGGUCGCUCUGCCUCCGGAAGCUCUUUGGAGUUGAGUGAGAUGUAGGCGGAGGACAAAUUCUAGAAUGGUCUGGACUAUCCUUAUUCUUGGAAGAUUCUUGAACAUUUUUAUCUACUAGUUUACAAGUUUUUUUCCAAAUAUUAACUUCAACAUUUUUUCAAAUUUCUGAACAUCCAUAUAAAAUAACAUAUUUUUAUAUUCAUGAAAGAUCCAAAUAUGUGAUGGCCGCAAGUUUGCUGUUGAUUGUGUGAGCCGUCGAAAACUGGGAUGAUAAGAAACAGAACAUCCAUGUUCUCCACUUACUGAAGAAUUGCCGUUGGCGACUGUUGCUUCAGGAUGGCUAUCUGAUAAUCAACUCAGCAGCGAGCCGAGUCCGGUUCAUGAUGCAAAAUUUGCAAUUAAUGGUGCCUGGUAUGCCUGUUGUUGUUCCUCAUUGUGUUGUGACUGUAUUGACACCAUCGGGGAGAGGAUCAUGUGAUACCACACCAGAUGCUCCCAUAAUACCAACUUCAAAAAAUCAAUUUUCGCUGUUCCAAAAAAAUCUGAAAUUUUUCGUGAAUAUUCACAACAUAUGUGACUACAACCCAUAAAAAAAUUAGUUCCAAAUUUGAAACUCACGCUGAGAAACAAAAAUGACAAAUCUAGCAUGAAUAGUGUCACAAAAGGACAGAAGCAAAAUUGAUACUAUUCACAUCUGAAUUUAUCUUUUUUGUUUCUCAAUGCACACUUCAAAUUUGGCGCUGAAAUUUUAGGGGAUAUAGACACGUUCCUUGUGACCAUUCAUGAUUUUUUUGAAAUGGUAUCAUGGAGCUUUUAAGGUGUGGUAUCACUGGAUAUUCUCCCUACACCAUCCCUUCAGCUCUCAGAAGCACAGGACAGCUGUACAAAUAUAGAUAUUUGGAAUUGAAGUUCCUCGAAUGCCGCCAGUUUUGGGAUUAGUGGUUAGUUUCGUCAAGUGCCUUCAUGCUUAGUAUGCAAUUUUCUGAGACUUGUGGUGUUUUCCCGUCAUUCAUUAGCCAUGAUUGCUGUAUAUAUAUAUAGUCGAAAACCUUUCCGAGACGCAUGCUUUUGCUUGUUGAUAUCAUAGCUGCAAUGCAAUACGAUAUUCUGCCAAGUGCUUGUUUGUAAACCACUCAUCCCAUCUGUGAUGUUGACAGUGAUCUUACUUUUGUCCGUUGGGUGAUGCAAGGGACAGUUCUUUAUGCACUUGGUAAUGCUAAUCAUAGAUGUGAACCACAGAUGUGAACUUUAGUAUUCUUUCGAUUGGGAUAAGGUUCCACAGUAUGUUGAUAGAUUCACCAGUGUGCAUCCCUUUCAGAGUGCCAAGUCACACACGAGUCACCAUUUUUUGCAGCACUGUCCUGAAAAAAGCAUCAGGCUUACUUGGCACUAUUACUAGUUUGCUUACUAAAUAUGCCGCGUUAGCACUUUGCAAAGUAUUGAAAGAAAGAGGAGAAAGCUUAAGUGUGGUUCGGACACCUCAUAUCAUGUUUGUUUUGUGUGAACUCAAGUGGCAUCAUGCUUUCAGGCAUUUCAUGGAACACCUCUUGUGUAUAGGAAGGGAAAACAAACUAACACUCACCUCCCACCUUCUAUGAGAAGAAAAAACAGAGAAGAGGGCGGCAGGGGUGAGGGGAUAUAUAUAGGUAAAUGUUUAGUCCCGACUGGGCUCUCAAACCGGGACUGAAGACAUACCUUUAGUCCAGUUUCGGUUGGUGUCUGCAACCGGGACUAAGGGUCCCAUUCGAACCGGGACUGAUGCCUGUCGAGCCCCGUCCAACGUCCUAGCCGCUCGAACCGAGACUAAUGCUCACAUUAAGGCCGGUUUGUAACGCGACCAGGACUAUUGAUUAGAAUGAAAACCCUGUUUUCUACUAGUGACGGGAGCCUUCAGAGGCAUGGAAGGUACCAUGGAAGGCUUCGAAGCUACCAUGGAUGAUUUGAGUGGCAUGGGUGGCAUGGGAGGCAUGGGAGGUAUGACCGGCAUGGGAGGCGUGGGAACGCCUAUGGGAGGAAUUGGAGGUAUGGCCCGUAUAGGAGGCAUGAGAGCACCUACAGGAGGCAUUGGAGGCAUGGCCGACAUGGAAGGCUUGGGAGCUACCAUGAAAGGCAUGAGAUUUGUGUCUCUCUUGAAAAUCAUGGAAGCACCUCGCAUGAUGUCUCACAUGUCUUCGCAUGGUGCCUCACAUGCCUUGAAAGAUAAUGCGAACACCAUUCAAGGUUCCAAUGACACGAAGAUGCUUGAAGAUGGUGAAGAGGAAAAAGAGGAGGAGGACGGGAACGAUGAAGAGGAGGAUGAAGAGAAGCAAGAAGAUGGACAAUGAUUUCACUGGUGGUAGAUGUUUCAUUCGUUUGUGUGAACUUAUUUGUCAUGAACUUGCUUGUGGUAGAUGAUUUCACUGGUAGAAAACAGGGCAUCAGUCCCGGUUCCUAAGGGCCUUUAGUCCCGGUUCUGCAACCGGGACUAAGCAAUCGGGACAAAAGGCCUCAACUUUUAGUCCCGGUUGUGUUACGAAUCGGGACUAAAGGAGCUCCAUGUGGCCGUUGCGGGAUGCCCAAGCAGGAUGAUCUUUAGUCCCAGUUGGUAACACCGACCAGGACUAAAAGGCAGCCACGCAUCAGCACCUGCGAAGGCUAUGUUUUUUUUGUGAGAUGGGGGUUUAUCCGUGACCGCGUGGGUCGACCGACGCGUUACACAUAUUGAUAUACAACAUCAAUAUAAAUUAUGGAAGAACAAUAUCCAACUUCAGUACAAAUUCGCAACAUCGUAUUUUUCUCUAAUUCAACCUGGUCUAUUGCAUCCACCUAAUUUGUACUGGU
rnacentral:lncRNA from 1 species